GGGGAUGUAGCUCAGAUGGUAGAGCGCUCGCUUAGCAUGCGGAGGCACGGGGAUCGAUACCCCGCAUCUCCA
rfam:Oryza barthii chromosome 12, whole genome shotgun sequence.